rnacentral:rRNA from 1 species
UACAGAGGGGGCGAGCGUUGUUCGGAAUCACUGGGUGUAAAGGGUGCGUAGGCGGUCGGUUAAGUCUGAUGUGAAAGUCGGGGGCUCAACCCUCGAAUGCCGGUGGAUACUGUCGGGCUAGAGUGCGGAAGAGGCGAGUGGAAUUCCUGGUGUAGCGGUGAAAUGCGCAGAUAUCAGGAGGAACACCUAUUGCGAAGGCAGCUCGCUGGGACGUAACUGACGCUGAGACGCGAAAGCGUGGGGAGCAAACAGG